UAAGACAGAGGGUGCAAACGUUGCUCGGAAUUACUGGGCGUAAAGGGCGUGUAGGCGGGAAGGCAAGUCGGGCGUGAAAGCCCCAGGCUCAACCUGGGAACUGCACUCGAAACUGCCUUUCUUGAGUGCCGGAGAGGAAAGCGGAAUUCCUGGUGUAGAGGUGAAAUUCGUAGAUAUCAGGAGGAACACCAGUGGCGAAGGCGGCUUUCUGGACGGUAACUGACGCUGAGACGCGAAAGCGUGGGGAGCAAACAGGAUUAGAUACCCUGGUAGUCCACGCUGUAAACGAUGAGUGCUAGGUGUCGUGGGUAUUGACCCCCGCGGUGCCGUAGCUAACGCAUUAAGCACUCCGCCUGGGAAGUACGGUCGCAAGACUA
rnacentral:rRNA from 1 species